UAUAAGAUUGAUUCUGUCUUAUUGAAUUUAAUUAAUUAUUUGAUAAUAUUAAAUAUUAGUUUUUGCGUGAUAAAAUUUAUCUAAAGGGUGAAUUGGUUUGAUUUGUAGUUUUUAAUUUUUUAAAUUACAUUGUUGUAGAUUUAGUUAAUUUAUUUAAAGUUGUUUAAAGUUGUGCCAGCAAACGCGGUUACACAUCUAACUUGAAUUAAUUUUUUUGGUUAGUAUUGAUUUUUGUAUUGAUAAUAAGUUUUAUUUUUUAAGGUGAAAUUUUAAAAUUAAGUUUAUUUGUUUGGUUUAAGAUUAUAUGAAAUUUAAAAUAUAAACUAGGAUUAGAUACCCUAUUAUUUUGAAUGUAAAAGUUAACCAUAGGAUUAAUAGAUAAGAUCUUUAAAUUAAAAGAAUUUGGCGGUAAUUUAGUCCUUUCAGAGGAACCUGUUUUAUAAUUGAUAAUCCACGAUGAAUUUUACUUUAUUUAUUAUUUGUAUAUCUCUGUCAUUGAAUGUCUUAUUAGGGUAUUUUCUUUAAUUAUUAAUUUAAUUAAUGUCAGGUCAAGGUGCAGUUAUAUUAAAGAUAAAAAUGGGUUACAUUUAAUGUAUAUUUAUUGGUUUGUUAAAUUGUAUUAUUAACAUUAAAUAGGAUUUGAAAGUAAUUGUUGUUAUAUUACAAUAAUGAUUUUGGCUCUAAAUUAUGUACACAUCGCCCGUCGCUUUCAUUAUAAGGUGAAAUAAGUCGUAACAAAGUAAUUUUACUGGAAAGUGAGGUUAGAAUUUA
rnacentral:ncRNA from 1 species